rnacentral:rRNA from 1 species
ACUUUGUUAUUGUUAACUGUUUGAGCACUACGAACAUUAUGUUUAAAACUCAAAGAAUUUGGCGGCUAGUUAAUCUAAUUAGGGGAGUAUGUGUCUUAAUUCGAGAGUACGCGUUUUAUCAGACCACAUCUUGAAGAUGGACAGCCGGUGUACUGCCGUUGUCAGCUAGUGGUUGUGAGCAGGUAGAAACUAGCUUAAUGGAGGCCUAAUAGUAUUUAUUUUGUCGAGGGGUAUAAAUUCCAUGAAUGCAGGUCAAAGUGCUGCUAAUGAUGUUGGGGAGCAGGUAUUACAAUCUAUAUUUGAGAUGCGGAUCCCACAGUGACCAAUAGUUUUGGUACUAGUGAAAUCAUGGGGGAAGAUGGACUUAAAAGUAAAAAGGAAUUAGUAUGUUUUUUUGAAUAAGCUCUGGCUAGUGUACAAACU